rnacentral:rRNA from 1 species
AUUGAACGCUGGCGGCAUGCCUUACACAUGCAAGUCGAACGGCAGCACGGGAGCAAUCCUGGUGCGAGUGGCGAACGGGUGAGUAAUGUAUCGGAACGUACCUUUCAGUGGGGGAUAACGUAGCGAAAGUUACGCUAAUACCGCAUAUUCUGUGAGCAGGAAAGCAGGGGAUCGCAAGACCUUGCGCUGAUUGAGCGGCCGAUAUCAGAUUAGCUAGUUGGUGAGGUAAAGGCUCACCAAGGCGACGAUCUGUAGCGGGUCUGAGAGGAUGAUCCGCCACACUGGAACUGAGACACGGUCCAGACUCCUACGGGAGGCAGCAGUGGGGAAUUUUGGACAAUGGGCGCAAGCCUGAUCCAGCCAUGCCGCGUGAGUGAAGAAGGCCUUCGGGUUGUAAAGCUCUUUCAGCCGGGAAGAAAACGCAUGGGUUAAUACCCUGUGUGGAUGACGGUACCGGAAUAAGAAGCACCGGCUAACUACGUG